CCCUUAGAUGUUCUGGGCCGCACGCGCGCUACACUGAUGCAUUCAACGAGUCUAAAACCUGCUCUGAUAGGGGUGGGUAAUCUUUUGAAUGUGCAUCGUGAUUGGGAUAGAUGAUUGCAAUUUCUCAUCUUCAACGAGGAAUGCCUAGUAAACGCAAGUCAUCAGCUUGCAUUGAUUACGUCCCUGCCCUUUGUACACACCGCCCGUCGCUCCUACCGAUUGAAUGAUCCGAUGAAUAUCAUGGAUUGAGGAUGCAAGCAGGUUCGCCUGUCUUCACCUUCGAGAAGUGAAGUAAAUCUUAUCAUUUAGAGGAAGGAGAAGUCGUAACA
rnacentral:rRNA from 1 species